AAAAAAAAAGAAAAAGAAAAACCAGCGAAGGCCCAGCUUGAGCAGCCAAUGGCACAAGAAAAUGGCACAAGGAGGCCACUGUAACUGACAGACACGCCUGCUCUGCCACUGGGACUGAUCUUGUGUGGGGAGUUCUGAUCAGCACCAGGCACUCUUUAGAAGCACCGUGUCCGGCUUCUGUCCUCUUCUACUGUCACGUGGCAGAAAAUUCCUCUCUCAUGCUAUCCUGGGUAAAGUCCUUUCUUCAAAAAGAUCUCCCUUCCAUAGUCCUCCCAUUAGAAUCUUUUGCACUCUGUACAAAAAGACAAACAUUCUGAUGAGUCCAUCAACAUUAGGCAGAGUUGUUGGAGACCCAGGAAGAUGGGCUACAGAAGUCUUUAUGCACACACCGGGUGGUACUCACUGUCUCUCAGCACCAAGCUCACUUCUUGGUACUUCACUCUGUGGUGCCAGGGCUGGGACCUGCGUAUUUCUCUCAUUCUGUUUCCAGCUGACCUGACCGUGGGCAGCACCAGAAAAAGCCUGAGACUACCUUCUGUCUCCAGUCCCUGUCAGCGACUCUCCAGCGACAGGCAACGGCGCCAGCUCCAGACUCCAGCUGCUCUGGGCCUCCCAGAAUCAGCCACACCAUGCUUGUCAGAAGUCUCAGCAAGAAUUUUGGAGAAUAUCUAGAGACCAAUAAAGAUGGAAGCAGAGAGGGCCUAAGGAGGUGCACGGCCAGCAAGUGCCCUCAUGUGAUCAAUGAAUUUUAGAAUAUUGGUACCUAACCUUCAACUGAAUUAUAACUAUAAAUCAUAAUUAUAAAAGUAAUAUAGG
rnacentral:lncRNA from 10 species